AUUGAACGCUGGCGGAAUGCUUUACACAUGCAAGUCGAACGGCAGCACGGACUUCGGUCUGGUGGCGAGUGGCGAACGGGUGAGUAAUGUAUCGGAACGUGCCCAGUCGUGGGGGAUAACGUAGUGAAAAUUACGCUAAUACCGCAUACGAUCUAUGGAUGAAAGCGGGGGAUCGCAAGACGUCGCGCGAUUGGAGCGGCCGAUAUCAGAUGAGGUAGUUGGUGGGGUAAAGGCCCACCAAGCCAACGAUCUUUAGCUGGUCUGAGAGGACGACCAGCCACCGGGGAACGGAGGCACGGUCCAGACGCCGACGGGAGGAAGCAGUGGGGAAUUUUGGACAAGGGGCGAAAGCCUGAUCCAGCCAUGCCGCGUGCAGGAUGAAGUCCCUCGGGUUGUAAACUGCUUUUGUACAGAACGAAAAGGUUUCUACUAAUACUAGGAGCUCAUGACGGUACUGUAAGAAUAAGCACCGGCUAACUACGUGCCAGCCGCCGCCGUAA
rnacentral:rRNA from 1 species